rnacentral:rRNA from 1 species
GAUCCUGGCUCAGAAUCAACGCUGGCGGCGUGCCUAACACAUGCAAGUCGAACGCGAAAGGGGAGCAAUCCCUGAGUAGAGUGGCAAACGGGUGAGUAACACGUGGGUGACCUGCCUCAGAGUGGGGGAUAACGUCCCGAAAGGGACGCUAAUACCGCAUAACAUCCUGCCUUUGGAAAGGCGGAGAUCAAAGCCGGGGAUCGCAAGACCUGGCGCUUGGAGAGGGGCCCGCGUCUGAUUAGCUAGUUGGUAGGGUAACGGCCUACCAAGGCGACGAUCAGUAUCCGGCCUGAGAGGGCGGACGGACACACUGGGACUGAGACACGGCCCAGACUCCUACGGGAGGCAGCAG